GCCGGGCAUGGUGGCGCAUGCCUGUGGUCCCAGUUACUCCCGAGGCUGAGGUGGGAGGAUUGCUUGAGCCCAGGAGUUCUGGGCUGUAGUGCACUAUGCCGAUUGGGUGUCCGCACUAAGUUCGGAAUCAAUAUGGUGACCUCCCGGGAGUGGGAGCAUGGGACCACCAGGUUGCCUAAGGAGGGGUGAACCAGCCCAGGUCGGAAACAGAGCAGGUCAAAACUCCCUUGCUGAUCAGUAGUGGGAUUGCGCCUGUGAAUAGCCACUGCACUCCAGCCUGGGCAACAUAGUGAGACCCCAUCUCU
rnacentral:SRP_RNA from 1 species